rfam:Pelecanus crispus contig25940, whole genome shotgun sequence.
ACUGGGUUAGCUCAGUUAGUUAGAGCAUGGUGCUAAUAACACCAAGUUCACAGGUUCAAUCCCUGUUUACUGCA